GCCAGUGUGGAGAAGUGGUUUGAGUGUUGCAUUAUGACUCCGGAGACCAGGGUUCGAAUCCCAGCUCAGCCA